rnacentral:rRNA from 1 species
CGUCUAGGCGGAACGGCAAGUCGGUUGUGAAAUCCCUCGGCUCACCCGAGGACGUGCACCCGAAACUGCCGGUCUAGAGGACGAGAGGGGAGAGUGGAACUCCUGGUGGAGCGGUGAAAUGCGUAGAUAUCAGGAGGAACGCCGGUGGCGAAAGCGACUCUCUGGCUCGUUCCUGACGCUGAAGCGCGAAAGCUAGGGGAGCGAACG